UACAGAGGUCUCAAGCGUUGUUCGGAUUCAUUGGGCGUAAAGGGUGCGUAGGCGGCGCGGUAAGUCAGGUGUGAAAUCUCGGGGCUCAACCCCGAAACUGCACUUGAUACUGCGGUGCUAGAGGACUCGAGAGGAGAUUGGAAUUCACGGUGUAGCAGUGAAAUGCGUAGAUAUCGUGAGGAAGACCAGUGGCGAAGGCGGAUCUCUGGAGAGUUCCUGACGCUGAGGCACGAAGGCCAGGGGAGCAAACGGG
rnacentral:rRNA from 1 species